rnacentral:rRNA from 1 species
ACGCUGGCGGCAGGCCUAACACAUGCAAGUCGAGCGGUAGAGAGAAGCUUGCUUCUCUUGAGAGCGGCGGACGGGUGAGUAAUGCCUAGGAAUCUGUCUGGUAGUGGGGGAUAACGUUCGGAAACGGACGCUAAUACCGCAUACGUCCUACGGGAGAAAGCAGGGGACCUUCGGGCCUUGCGCUAUCAGAUGAGCCUAGGUCGGAUUAGCUAGUUGGUGAGGUAAUGGCUCACCAAGGCGACGAUCCGUAACUGGUCUGAGAGGAUGAUCAGUCACACUGGAACUGAGACACGGUCCAGACUCCUACGGGAGGCAGCAGUGGGGAAUAUUGGACAAUGGGCGAAAGCCUGAUCCAGCCAUGCCGCGUGUGUGAAGAAGGUCUUCGGAUUGUAAAGCACUUUAAGUUGGGAGGAAGGGCAGUUACCUAAUACGUGAUUGUUUUGACGUUACCGACAGAGUGAGCACCGGCUAACUCUGUGCCAGCAGCCGCGGUAAUACAGAGGGUGCAAGCGUUAAUCGGAAUUACUGGGCGUAAAGCGCGCGUAGGUGGUUAGUUAAGUUGGAUGUGAAAUCCCCGGGCUCAACCUGGGAACUGCAUUCAAAACUGACUGACUAGAGUAUGGUAGAGGGUGGUGGAAUUUCCUGUGUAGCGGUGAAAUGCGUAGAUGUAGGAAGGAACACCAGUGGCGAAGGCGACCACCUGGACUGAUACUGACACUGAGGUGCGAAAGCGUGGGGAGCAAAC